rnacentral:lncRNA from 1 species
UGGGCUUGGAGUAUGUUGUAUUUGAGCCUGGGGGAGAGUUGGGGAGUCACAGGAACAAGAUAAAAAUGAUUGAGAAGGAAUCAGCUGCAACUACAUUUGAUUUUGUUGAUUUCUCGCCCUCUGAUGAAAAGUUUUUCUACGUCUCAGCUCAGCAAGAGUUUCACUAUAAAACCAAUUGGAGAAUGUUUCCAACUCAGUCAUGGAUCCAACAAACCAGACAACGUAGUAAAGGGCCACCUGAUCAUCAAGUUAUUACAUGUUUGGCAAAACAUGUCGGUUUGGAUCACUUCCAAGAGACGAUUAUAUGUGAUUGGGUUGGACGAUGGAGACCUGGAAAAUAU